AAGUGACUCGAUAAAUAGAUAUCUGCACCUGAGAUCAGAAAUUCAUUGUGAAAGAUUUUGUAUAUGCACAGAGGAAAAAAAGUCUUUCUCCUGAUGCAGAUCUUUAAAUAAAUGGAGAAGGUAGAGAAAGAAGUGGAUAAGAGGUAAAUACAACUUUUACUUCUUACAAAUUCUGAAUUGAAAGAAAGACAAUUGACUCAGAUAGAGAGGUGAGCCACAGUAGCCUAACAAAUUCCCUUACAUCAGCUGAGUCUCAGUCAUUUAUUCCUGUGUUCAUUGCAGAAGAUACUAAGUCUGCAGAUUUGCCAUUGGUUAGCCAUAUGCAUAAGGACAGUGAACAUAGCUCAGCAAAAAAGUCUGCUGACAAGGCCCUAAGAACAAUGUUGAGAUUAUGUCUAGCAAGGAAGAGAUCAGACGAGAAUGAACCAAACCCGAUCAUCUGAAACUGGUAAAGAAUGAGAACAUCUGCUUUUCUGCCUUGCAGUCCCUCCAGAGGGGUUAAUUUGACAUUGAGGUUGUAUGAAUGAAAUACAUGUGGAAAGACACUUUAUUUCCCAAUAGGCCAGAAUAGUGUGAGGUGUCAUUAGGCUUGUGUUGCUAUGGAAGGAAUUAUUAUUAGACCAAAACAGGGCAAAGGAUUUUGUUUUUAUUGUAUCUCCCCAGCCUGAGAUAUGCCAUGGUCACUUGCAAUGUGAGAUCUGUACUCUUCUUUUUAUCUUUUUGUCCUUUCCCUUCUUUCCCUUUAUUUCUUAUUUUCUUUGCAAUUACUGACUGUGUUUUAUUGGAACCCAUAACUUAAAAGCCAAUAAUGAAUAGUGUGCAGUGACCUACAGCAUCAAAUAGGUAGAAAUUUGAUAAUUCUAGAGAAAAAGCAGACCUAUUCUGUUAGCCAAUGUUGUACUGAAAUAAUCACUAAGACUAUGAGAAUGUGCUUACAGCAUGGAAUGAAGCAUGGUGUGGCUGCCCUCCCUCCAACCUACUCUAUUGCAGAAGAAAAUGUUUUUUUUGUUGUUGUUGUUGUUUUUUCUUUCUUCAUCUGUGUGAUUCUUCCGUAUUUUGCUUUCAGGGAAGCAAGCUGACUCUGACAUCAGGCUGUGAUGGAAAUGUUAAGAUAAGUGGGCACCAACAGCUUUUCUGCCUUCCUGCCUUUGCCAAAAGAACAGAAUUGUGGUAUCCCAUCCCUUUUGGCUACCAGAACCCCCCUUUUAAGUGGCUUCUGAUUUUUCAUUCAUGUUUUCUUCCGAGUUGUAUAUAUCCCAGAUGACGAUUUCAUAGAAUCAUCAUAGAAACAGAAUGGUUUGGGUUGGAAGAGACCUUAAAGAUCACCUAAUUCCACUCCCCCUGCCAUGAGCAGGGACACCUUCCAUUAGAAACUUCCAAUAGUUUGCAAGUCAUUUUAAGUGUUCCAUAUUUUUUAGCAAUAAAGCUGGAAGGUGGCUUGCUGUUUUGUUAUUG
rnacentral:lncRNA from 1 species